rnacentral:rRNA from 1 species
GUGAGGAAUAUUGCGCAAUGGAGGCAACUCUGACGCAGCCAUGUCGCGUGCAGGAAGAAGGCGCUACGCGUUGUAAACUGCUUUUAACCGGGAAGAAACCCCAGGACGUGUCCUGGGUUGACGGUACCGGAGGAAUAAGCACCGGCUAACUUCGUGCCAGCAGCCGCGGUAAUACGAAGGGUGCAAGCGUUAUCCGGAUUCAUUGGGUUUAAAGGGUGCGUAGGCGGAGCGUUAAGUCAGUGGUGAAAUCCUGCAGCUUAACUGUAGACUUGCCAUUGAUACUGGCGCUCUUGAGUGCGCUUGAAGUGGGCGGAAUGUGCCGUGUAGCGGUGAAAUGCUUAGAUAUGGCACAGAACACCAAUUGCGAAGGCAGCUCACUAAGGCGAUACUGACGCUGAGGCACGAAAGCGUGGGGAUCGAACAGGAUUAGAAACCCCUGUAGUCC